rnacentral:tRNA from 1 species
GUAUUCCUUUCUAUUAUGGUAAACCCCGUUAGAAAUUCCUUUGGAAUAAAGGAGCGGGCUGGCGGUUCAAAUCCGUCCGUGGGCUCCA